CAACAAUUGUUUAUCACAGAGAAUAGGCGUCUACGUGUAUAAGACUACAAUACAAAAUAUAACAUGUCAAAAUGUUUCAAUAUGUACCGUUCCGUUUUUCUCAGGUAUACACAAAUACCUCAACAUACACUAUCAAUGUACAGGUACGUAUAUUAUAUCACUAGUGUUUGUUUUAUGCUUUAUAAAACUAUGCUGAUUUUUGCUUCAAUAAAAUUGGCACUGCUAUUGUUAUCUACGAAAAAACAAUAUAUUAGUAAUAACCCACUACAAUAUCAUGCACAUAUGCAGUAUUAUACCCAUACGCAAACAUAAUUGGACGAGAGAAAAAUGAAUAUGACUUAUUUUCAUGUUAAAGCAAUAUCUGAGUUGAAAUAUAACAUUAACAAGUACACAGUAUUACUUAGAAUCAUAUUUUUAAAACCAACAGGGAUACUAAGGCCUAAUAACAUGAAAAAAGAAAAACAAAACAAAACAGCAGUUGAAAUAAGUGUUAUGAAUAAUAUGACUGAAAAAAUAAAACAGAUAAGUAUAAAAUCUACAUAACUCUAUUUAACGAUAAUGAUAAAAUUGUAAUAUGUUUUAGGUUGUUUAUCAGUACCUUCUAAUAAUCAACGAGUAAUAAGUUGUCCAGAACACACCACCAUUAAUGUUCACGAUGUUUGGAGUUCAAUGAAG
rnacentral:lncRNA from 1 species